AUGGAAUGCCAGCAGACAUGACCUGGUCCAAGACAUGAUUUCAGACAGGGACACCCAGAACCAGAAAAGUGACGUUGAGUAAUCCAGAACCUACGGUGUAGUCCUCGGGGGCCGCCAUGUUGAGUUGCAGCGAUAACCAUCUUGGCCACAACGGGGAUCGUGCCUGGAAUCAUGCAACUGGACAUUUCCUGCACAGAGUUGUGGUCCGAUUGAAGAGCAAGACUCUAGGAAGCCCUCAUGAGUUCCAUGCACAUGGGGGCAGGGUGUUGGCUGACGAAAUUCUUUGUAGGAUGAGGAGGCAAACAUUCCAUGACAUCCCCAAAGGAAAGGGUGUGUGGCCUGAGAGCUGUAAGAUUUUUAGGAGAUUCCUGGACUCCAUAGUGCCUCCAAGGGAAGGGUGAGGAGUCUGGAAUGCUCUGUUUCUCCAGGCACUAACAAGGGCCUGGGGCAGUCUCUUGUUUGGAAGGAAGGAAAGAAAGAAGAGAAACAUCCUUUUGACUCUCUGCUGGUGACCAUACAUCAAAGGAAUACAUCCACCCUGCCCUGUAAGAGCCUUUCCAAGGUCCAGACGGACACAACUGGACA